GAUUAACGCUGGCGGCGUGCCUAAUACAUGCAAGUCGAGCGAACAGACGAGGAGCUUGCUCCUCUGACGUUAGCGGCGGACGGGUGAGUAACACGUGGAUAACCUACCUAUAAGACUGGGAUAACUUCGGGAAACCGGAGCUAAUACCGGAUAAUAUAUUGAACCGCAUGGUUCAAUAGUGAAAGACGGUUUUGCUGUCACUUAUAGAUGGAUCCGCGCCGCAUUAGCUAGUUGGUAAGGUAACGGCUUACCAAGGCAACGAUGCGUAGCCGACCUGAGAGGGUGAUCGGCCACACUGGAACUGAGACACGGUCCAGACUCCUACGGGAGGCAGCAGUAGGGAAUCUUCCGCAAUGGGCGAAAGCCUGACGGAGCAACGCCGCGUGAGUGAUGAAGGUCUUCGGAUCGUAAAACUCUGUUAUUAGGGAAGAACAAAUGUGUAAGUAACUAUGCACGUCUUGACGGUACCUAAUCAGAAAGCCACGGCUAACUACGU
rnacentral:rRNA from 1 species